UUAGUAUUUAAAGGUAAACUUCCUCUUCUGAAAAGUGAAACCAAAGUCUAAAAAAAAAGAAAGUUUGAAGUAUUAUAAUAAUUGGACAAUAAGAUAAAAACAAAUGUUUGUAAAGUUGCUUUCCUUUGUGGUUGGAAUUUAUGUAGGAAUUUAUAUUGACCAGCAUUAUCAGAUACCAAAGGUAGAUGAUCCUAGCUCUGUAUGGACACAGGUCAGGGAAUAUGCCAAGCAAUUUGAAAAAGACAAGAAGGACAAAUGAGAUUGACCAUGUAGUUUAUCCAUUGACCAGAUGUGACAUGACAUUCCAUGAGUUCAUUCUAACUUGCUAUUUACCAUCUGCCUUUCAUUCCUACAACCAUGAUGAUCAAAACAAUUACAGUUAUCAUAUAUGAGUGAUUUGUAAUGUUAGUUGUUAUACAGAAAUUCAUUUUUACAAAAUGAUUGAUCUUUUGUAAUUUUGUUAGUUCUAUAACUGAUAAGAUGACUGGGCAUUGAAUAUAAAUUAUGUAUAUUGUUAAUUGUUGUUGACAUCAAAAUUAUAAUUAAAAUGUCCAUAUUUUG